rnacentral:rRNA from 1 species
ACCUGAAACCGUAUGUCUACAAACAGUCGAAGUCUGUAUAUAUAUCAGGACGACGGCGUGCCUAUUGAAGAAUGAACCGACGAGUUACUGUUGCUAGCGAGGUUAAGUGGAAAACACGGAGCCGCAGCGAAAGCGAGUCUGAACAGGGCGUUCAGUUAGUAAUAGUAGACCCGAAACCGUAGUGAUCUAUCCAUGGCCAGGUUGAAGCACAGGUAAAAUUGUGUGGAGGACCGAACUCGUGAGCGUUGAAAAGCUUUGGGAUGAGUUGUGGAUAGGGGUGAAAUGCCAAUCGAACACGGAGAUAGCUGGUUCUCCCCGAAAUAGCUUUAGGGCUAGCCUCGAGGUUGAGAGUAUAGGCGGUAGAGCACUGAUCGGGCUAGGGGCCAUACCGGUUACCGAACCUAGUCAAACUACGAAUGGCUAUACUUAUACUCGGGAGUCAGACAGUGAAUGAUAAGGUCCAUUGUCAAGAGGGAAACAGCCCAGAACACCGACUAAGGUCCCCAAUGUUACACUAAGUGGCGAAGGAUGUGGAAUUUCCAAAACAACCAGGAUGUUGGCUUAGAAGC